UAGGGAAAUUACUCUCGAGGUCAGUUUUC
rnacentral:piRNA from 1 species